AAGCUCGUAGGCGUGAAUCUCGUGAAGC
rnacentral:sRNA from 1 species